rnacentral:snRNA from 1 species
UUUUUCAUUAUUUUUUUUA